GACGAACGCUGGCGGCGUGCUUAACACAUGCAAGUCGAACGGGAAGGCCCUGCUUUUGUUGAGUGCUCGAGUGGCGAACGGGUGAGUAACACGUUAGUAGCCUGCCGUUGACUUUGGGAUAACUUCAGGAAACUGGGGCUAAUACCGGAUAGGAGCUCCUGCUGCAUUGUGGGGGUUGGAAAGUUUCGGCGGGUGGGGCGGGACUCGCGGCUUAUCAGCUUGUUGGUGGGGUAGUGGCUUACCAAGGCUUUGACGGGUAGCCGGCCUGAGGGGGUGACGGGGCACAUUGGGACUGAGAUCCGGCCCAGAGUCCUCAGGGGGGAAGAAGCGGCCAAUAUUGACCGAUGGGCGGCGGCGCGAUGCAGCAACGACGAGUGAGGGAUGAGGGCCGUAGGGUUGUAAACCGCUUUCGAAUGUGCCGAGGAGUGAGAGAAGGUAAUGGGUAAAGAAGCACCGGCUAACUACGUG
rnacentral:rRNA from 1 species